AUGGGUUGCCGACAUUAGGGAGGAUAGCAAUGUAGGACCUGAUUCCGCAGAUCCAGAUAACUUGCAGGAGGCAUACGUGGAUUUUGGGAAUAAAGAGGCUAACGCAUCCAUAAGGGAUUUCUCUAUUGAUGAUUUUGACGAGGAAGGCUUGAUUGCGGAGACUCCUAC